rnacentral:tRNA from 2 species
GGUCAAGCGGUUAAGACACCGCCCUUUCACGGCGGUAACACGGGUUCGAUUCCCGUCGAGA